rnacentral:lncRNA from 1 species
CCUUAUUGCACAACUGAUUGGAACAGUCAAAUAGCCCCUGAAAUCACCAAGCUUCCUCAGGGUAGAAGAAUACAACCCACCAGGAAUUGAACUCCAAAAGCAAAAUGUGGAGCCUUCUUGUGUUAUUAUGCAGCAUACUGUAUGCACAGACCUGUCAGGGUCAGCCCAGUGGUACUCACAGCACAGAGGAGAGAGAUGCCACAGGAAAACAAAGCAGCACAGGAGAAAUAGAUUAAGUAGGCAGUGCUGGAUUCACCCAGAAAGAUGGAUGUGCUUUGAACAAACAAAGAAGACUCAGCUGCACACGGAUUGAGUACACGAGCUUGGCUGCUCACCUGGACUCUGCAGAGAACAGAGCAGAACUCAAAAGAUCAGCUGGCUCAGUGGAAACCAAGAAGAGAUAGAACAUGCUUAAGACUUGGAAAUUCUGGUAUUCGUCUAUAAUUUUGAUAUUAUCAAAGAAUACUUAAAAAAGAAGCAUCUGUGGGACCUAUGAUUUGAAAGAAACUUCAGAGAAAGAUUUUCAAAUGCCAGAGGUAACUGAACAGUCCAGAGGAAAAUAACAAAGAAAAGGUGAAGAAGAAUGGUAUGUUCCUUACUGGAGACACAAAACCUCAGGUUUGAUUCUCAUUAAAGCAAAUAAAUAGAUUUGCCUAUGACCAAACUUUGCAUUUUUUUUUUUUCAAGACUUAUUUGCUAAGAAUUUGUGAAAAUGUGAAUAAAGAAAAUGUGAGGCACCAAAAAAGAAAGAGGGAGGCCUCAUGACACAGAGCACACAAUAUAUCUGUGGAAGUCCAACUAGAUCAAAAACUUGCUUGCAGCUGCCUUAUAAGCAAGAUGCAAACCACAGAAAUGUAGGAAGACUUUUGCUUUAAAAAAAAAAAAAAAGAAAAAAGCAAGCAUUCUGAGAAGAGUGAGCAAGAGCAGGACUGAAGAGGAAGCCAUGGAAUUAAAAAAUGAUAUUGCUUUCUGUUUCAUAACAACUGGCAGACAGGGAACAGCUCCUUGGGUGUGGAAAGUAAGCACAGGAAAUUAUGUGUAAUUUCCCUAUAAUUUAGAACUUCUCUCAUUCUGUACCAUGAUGAAAACAAAUCCUCUGCACACAAAAAGGCAUAGUAACUCUUGAAUGGAUCCUCUUCAUUCAAGGCCUAAUAAAAUUUGUUCUUUCAGUUGUCUGAAAUGUUUAAGAGUGUAAGGAGCACCCUCUGCUGCCCUGAGCCACAUAAAAAUUGUGUGGAUUCUAGCGCUUUAUUAGGAUUUUAGUAUGAGCACUAAAAGUCUGGCUCUUGACAGUCUGACCUCUGGCAUACACUAAAGGGACUCUUUAUGUGGUGCCACACUGAAAUUUCCCUUUCAUAGCAGUUUCAAGGUGCUUAAAGAAAUGGGUUGCAACUGGAAGAGAGGAGUGUGUUUAUCUCUAAUGUAAAGAUCCACGUUUCACCCAAACAAAAGGGAAUGGAAGAAUGGAAUUUUGUUUGGAUUCUUAUAUUUGCACACAAACAAACAAACAAAUUCUGAUUGAAUUCCAAGUGCUAACAUUAAAGAAGUGACCAAGAAGAAAAUGAGGCUCAAGUUGUACUGUUAUACCAAAAUGAAGGACGGCUGCUGUUAAAUAAUGCAAGAAAUAUCUGGGACUUUCUGAAGUUUUAGAAGAGGCCUAUCACUGUCUUUGAAGAGUUAAGAAAAACUGUUUAUGAUCAGAAUAUUUCUUUCUUUCAGAAUAAUCCUGUUGCAGAGUUUUCUGCAUAUUUUAGGACUUGCCUGUAGGUAUAGUCAGUUUGAAGUAGUGUUGGUGUGAAUUUCAAAAGCAAAGGAUGAUUUUGAGAAAUUCUAUGCUAGGCAAGGAAUAAUCAUGUACUUACAUAGCCCCCACUACUUUAGCAUGUAAAAUAACUUUGCUAUAUGAUCAUGUUAGAUGCUGGACAAACCAAGUGUACUAAUGAUCCCUACUCAGAAUAGCACAAGACUGAGACUGUCCUGCUGAAGUUAUCCCAUUUCC